rnacentral:tRNA from 1 species
GGAGUUGUGGCUCAGUGGUAGAGUACUCACCUCACAUGUGUGAGGCCAUGUGUUUGAUCCUAAGCACCA